rnacentral:rRNA from 1 species
UCUUUGGAGAGUUUGAUCCUGGCUCAGGACGAACGCUGGCGGCGUGCCUAAUACAUGCAAGUCGAGCGAACCAAUUA